AUGCUCCGCCUCCGAACCUGCAUCCUCACCCAUCCCCCCUCUUCGCCCGCCACCCAUCCCGUCCCCUGUCUCCACCGCCUCCUCUCCGCCGCCGCGCCCGCCGUCUCCCCAGGCCCCCGAUUCGCCGUCGAGGACUACCUCGUCGACACCUGCGGCCUCACCCGAGCGCAGGCCCUCAAGGCCUCCACCAAGCUCUCCCACCUCAAAUCCCCCACGAACCCCGACGCCGUGCUCGCCUUCCUCGCCGGCCUCGGCCUAUCCAGCGCCGACGUCGCCGCACUCGUGGCCCGCGACCCGAAGUUUCUCUGCGCCGGCGUCGAGAGAACCCUGUCUCCCAUCCUCGCCGGGCUCACCGGCCUCGGCCUAUCGCGCUCUGAGAUCGCGCGCGUCGCCUCGCUCGCACCCCGCAGCUUCCGCUCUAGAUCUGUCGUUUCCGGGCUGGAGUACUACCUCCCCCUCUUUAGCUCCUCCGAGAGCCUUCUCCGGGGGCUCAAGAAAUACAAGUACUUUCUCAGUUCUGAUCCAGAGAGGGUGGUCAAGCCCAAUAUUGAGUUACUGCGGGAGUGCGGGCUAGGCACUUCCGAUAUUGCGAAGCUCUGCCUCGCUGUGCCAUGGCUGCUCAGCGCCAAGCCGGAGCGCGUCCAGGUGAUGCUGGCGUGCGCGGAACGUCUCGGUGUGCCCCGUGGAUCGGGGAUGUUCAGGCACGCUUUGAAGGCUGUUGAAUCCCUUAGUGAGGAGAAGCUCGCCGCCAAAGUGGAGUACUUAAGGAACACGUUCAGGUGGUCGGAUGCUGAGGUGGGCAUUGCUCUUCGUAAGGCCCCACUGAUGCUGACCAAAUCCAAUCAGACAAUGCAGAGCAAGUCGGAGUUUCUUAUCUCUGAGAUGGGGUUGGAACCGGCGUACCUUGCUCAUUGCCCGGUAAUGCUCUGCCUUAGUCUGGAGGGCCGAGUCAAGCCACGGUGCUAUGUUAUAAAGUUUCUUAAGGCAAAUGGAUUGCUAGAUCGCCACUGGACCUAUGGGACAAUUGUCAGGGUGUCCGAGAUGGUAUUUGUGGAGACGUUCAUAUGCCCUCACAAGGAAGCUGCACCGAACCUUGCUGAAGAUUAUGAUGCCGCAUGCAGAGGGGAAAUGCCGACUAAUUUCAGAUUUACAUGA
rnacentral:rRNA from 1 species